ACAGGUUGGUCAACUAUAGAGAAAUAAAAAUCCGGCUUUCUUUUUAGGUUAUAUUUGUCUUUUCCGUAAGAGCAUAGUGUUGUUGCAAAUGCAUCCAUAUGAUUUAUAGAAAAUAAAUUGAUUGUGUAAAAUGCCUUCUCAAGAAAUUGUGGUUCCGCAACCUCCAACAACCGAAAGCGAAGAUAAUGCACCAUCGUCACAACCUAUCGUUGGAAUUAUUUAUCCUCCUCCAGAGGUUAGGAAUAUCGUUGACAAAACUGCUAGCUUCGUUGCUAGAAAUGGACCAGAAUUUGAAUCGAGAAUUAGACAAAAUGAAUUGGGAAAUCCGAAAUUUAAUUUCUUAAAUUUUGGUGAUCCCUAUCAUGCAUAUUAUCAACAUAAAGUUAAAGAAUUUAAAGAAGGUAAAGCACAAGAACCAUCUGCUGGUACUGGUACUGGUAAAACUGUAAAUCUUACUGCACAUCAAAAGCAACAAGAGAUUUUAAAGCAAGUCGAACAACCUUUCGUACCUAAAGAUCCACCUGCAGAAUUUGAAUUUAUCGCUGAUCCUCCUUCUAUUUCUGCAUUAGAUUUGGAUAUUGUCAAAUUGACAGCACAAUUUGUAGCACGUAAUGGACGUCAAUUUUUAACCAAUUUAAUGAACAGAGAACAACGUAACUUUCAAUUUGAUUUCUUACGUCCUCAACAUUCAUUGUUUCAAUAUUUUACAAAACUUCUUGAACAAUAUACUAAAGUAUUGAUCCCACCUAAGGAUUUAUUACCACGACUGAAAGAUGAAGUUUAUAACAUGGAUAAGAUUUUGGAACAAGUUAAGUAUCGUGCUGAAUGGUUGAAAUAUCAAGAAGCUCAAAGACGUAAAGAGGAGGAAGAAUUAGAACGGGAGAGAGUUGCUUAUGCUCAAAUUGAUUGGCAUGAUUUUGUUGUCGUUGAAACUGUUGAUUAUCAACAAUUUGAAGUGGGUAAUUUUCCAGCACCAACAACUCCUGACGAAGUCGGAGCUAGGGUUCUUAUGCAGGAGCGUAUAGAAGAAGGGGAAGAUGUUGAGAUGCAAAUUGACAGCGAUGGAGAAGAAGAAAUGCAAAAUCGUACCGAUGGUGAAAAAGAUCGUGCGAAGGAUAAUAAUCAAGUACAAGAUAUGGAGGAGGAUUCAAGUGACGACGACGACGUGUCUCCUCCAGGUGAUUCUCACAAAUCUAAAGAAUCUAAGAUACGAGAUGCAAGUAUGCAACCUCCGCCAUUACCACCGACACCUGGUAAUGUUGUUGUCAAGAAAGGAUAUGAUCCAAAACAACAUGCUGUUAAAGCGGCUCGUCCAGUUGCACCUGAUGAAUAUUUGAUUUCUCCGAUUACGGGAGAACGUAUACCUGCUAGUAAAGUUCAAGAGCAUAUGAGAAUAGGUUUAUUGGAUCCACGGUGGGUAGAACAACGGGAUAAACAUUUAGAUAAGUUGGCGCAGCAAACGGUGUUUGCUCCGGGUACUGCAAUUGAGGCCAGUCUUAAGCAACUCGCUGAAAGGCGUACUGAUAUCUUCGGUGUUGGUGAUGAAGAAACAGCGAUUGGUAAAAAGAUCGGCGAAGAGGAUAAGAAGAAAGAUGAUAAAGUUACAUGGGAUGGUCAUACGUCUAGUGUUGAAGCAGCGACUAGAGCAGCUCGAGCAAAUAUUACUUUAGAAGAACAAAUUCAUCAAAUACACAAAGUCAAAGGACUUCUUCCUGAUGAAGAGAAAGAAAAGAUUGGUCCAAAGCCUGCCAAUCGUGCAGCUGAACUUUCUCAUAUGGCUGCUGUUGCAUCUAAGCCUCAAGCUACUCUCAAAGCACCUCCUAAACCACCAGCACCGAAACCAAUACCAGUUCCAGCCCAACCACCACCACCACCAGCUAUGAGUAUGCCUACAAUGGCAAUUCCACAACCAAUGAUGCCGCAGCCACCGAUGAUGAUGAUGGCUCCUAUGCCACCAAUAAGACCACCACCCCUUAUGACACCUACUAUGUCACCAUUUAUGCCAACACCACCACCUAUGCAACCACCAAUGGCAUCAGCUAUCGGUAUCAAACAUACUGCAGAACCUAUGGAGGAAGAACCUCAAGCUAAGAAAUUGCGUUCUGAAGAUACAUUGAUUCCUGAACAAGCAUUCCUUGCUAGAAAUAAGGGUCCGGUACAAUUGAAUAUUGCUGUACCCAUGAUGACAGAGAAGGCUGAAUGGAAAUUAAAUGGACAAACAUUGAGUAUCACUUUGCAACUGACCGAUACUGUCGUAACUAUGAAAGCUUUGAUUCAUGAACAAACUGGUAUGCCACCAGGCAAACAAAAGUUGCAAUACGAGGGAAUGUUCUUUAAAGAUGGUAACACACUUGCUUAUUAUAAUUUAUCAUCUGGAAAUGUCAUCAAUCUUCUUCCCAAGGAAAGAGGUGGCAGAAAAAAAUAAAUGAUCAAUUUUAUAAGAAUCCCGAUUGGAGUUGGUAGCGAAAGAGAUCACGAGAGCAGCAGCAACAAGAGGAGGAGGUGGUGGUGGUGGUGGUGGAGGAUGAGAAGGAAGAGGAAAGGGUGAUGAUGGUGGUGGUCGUCAUCGUUGAAGAAGAGAGAAGAGGUGAAAGGGUUUAGAAACGCAUGGCCCGACCACUCUCAACUUUACUGCCGAGAUAAGAAGAACUGCGCAUACGAGUACAUAUAUAUAUAUAUAUAUAUAUAUAUAUAUAUAUAUAUAAAUAUGCGUUAUUGAAGAUAACAACGUACACCUUGCAGAUAUAUCACCUCUGAAAGACAUCGUGACCGAAAUUCGCCCCGGAAUGUCGACCCCCAGGGUGAAACCACUUCAUAAUGAUCGUUUCUGGCGCCACGCGGAGGCGCUGGCGUCUGCUUGGCUCAGCCGAUAGAGGAACCACGAACGAGCCGACUGACCGAGCCACCCGUCCUCUCUUCAGACGAGUCCAUCUUGCAUUUCUACCUUCCCCUCUUUCUCUUUCCACCCUUCGCCACUUCUUUUCCACUUUAGAUCUUUGUAAAAGAAAGGCCGGCGACCUAACUCCUAGCUUUCCCUUCUAUCUGAUUCAUCCUCUUGCAUUAGUUCCAGACCUAUUAAUCUCGUAUUUUUCUAAGAAUCUUUCCAAAUUUGUCUGCCCAUUUUAAAAAUAACUAAAUAUCUUUCUAAAUAUAUAAUUAAGGUAUUUCUCUCUCUCUCUCUCUCUCUCUCUCAUAGAUUACUAUUUAAGAUAGAUCAUUAGGAGUAAUAAUAUUGAACAAUUAUUCUCAAUAAUGUAGAUAUAACGAGACAAUUUAUCAAUAUUGUAGCAAAGUAUUAAUUGGAGAAUGCCUGAAAUCAUUGGAUAAGACAAAAGCGAAGAAAAGUCAUUAGUUUAGAGAGUGGAACGUAAUGAAAAAAAAUCAGGCGAUAUAUCUCGUAGCGUGUUAGGAUCGACGGCGCCGGUAGUGGAAUAGGGUGGGGGGGUGUCUCUCGAUGGUAGCGCCUCGAGCGGUGAGCGCCGGAAACGGCGCCGUGUCGGCGGCGACGGCGGCGGCCAUGUUUAACAAUCUUCCUUGUGUGUUUAGUAUGCCGCGGUCGGUGUAUCGGCGCGCCGUGACGAAACACACGGAACGAGACGUUGAGCAGAAACGAAGUUGCGGCGGCGGAGAAGAAAAAGGAGAAAAAGUGGGGGAAGUAUCGAGAGGAGUGGGGGAUUAUAGUGAGUAAAGUGGUGGGGGAACUUCGUUGGAAAUCGGUGCGGUUCGAGACGGGAACCUCGUGCGUGGAACGGACAGUCGCGUCGUCGAACUGAGUCGAGUCGAAUCGAAUCGAAUCGCAGUCGAACGACGAACGUCGCCGGGGAACUACUUGCACUUCGUAUUGCACUUCGUCUUCUUAUUCGAGGAAGAAGAAGAAGAAGAAGACUUAAGUUUUUGUGAACUAUUCUCUAAUCAUCAUCAUUGAGAAUAUCAAUUAAAUAUAAUCUAAAAAGUGACAAAGUGCGCGAGGUCUAAUAAGGAAAGGAAAUCAAAGAGGAAGAGACAGACGAGAAUAUCCCGUAACUGUUUCGAAAGAAACAGAGCAAAAAGGCAUAGGAGACAACAAGUAGAAGAGGAGAUAGUAAUAAGCGCACGCGUUACGAAUCAAAAUCUCGCGUGUCCUCGUAUUCUCGUUUAUAUAUUUCUCAUCUCGUUGGCAAAGAGAGAGGAUAGAAAGAGAGAGAGAGAGAGAGGGAGAGAGAGAGAAAGAGGAUUCUUCUUCUUCUCCCCUUCCGUAUUCGAACGUGCCUCCUCUCUCGGUCGUUCUCAGUGGAUCGCGGUAGCAAUUCGAAGAAUGUGACAGUGCGCGUCCUCGCGGUCGGCUCGCGCAAACGAAUCGCCCACCGGCGAUGGAUGAUGAGCGAAAAACACUGCCUGUUGCUGUUGUUCUUUUACUUGUUCUUCGUAUCGCGGUGUGAGAACGUUGAUAAGGAGGAAUAAGAAGAAGGAAGAAGAAAAAGAAAAAGAAAAAGAGAUAGAAGGUUAGAGAAGGGAGAUAGAAAAGGAGAGAAAUCGAAAGUUAAACGACAAUAUCGGGAGAAGUUGAGAGAGAGAGAGAGAGAGAGAGAGAGAAAGAUAGACGAUGCGAGCGGAAAAUGUCAGACGGUGAUACGCGAGCACGGAUGACGGGGAGCGAUCGACGCGACGAUCUCGAGUUGGAGGUUGUUGCAGUGUCGUCGCUGUCCUCCUUCACGUCGUUGCUGUCAUUUUACUUAUUAGUGUCGUUGUCAUCUUCUGGUUCGUCGUCGUGGUCGUGGUUGUCGACGUCGUCAUCGUCGUCGUGGUUGACGUCGUCGUCGUCGUCGUCGUCUUUAAAGUCGACGUCGUCGUCGUUGUCGUCGUCGUCGUCGUUGUCGUCGUCGUCGUGUUGUUCGUCAUCGAACGGCGCCGGCUUGCCGAUAGGAAUAACAGCGCACGCGGUUCGAGAGCACCAGUACCAGCACCAGUACCAGCACCAGUACCAGCAGUACCAGCCUUCGAGAGUAAGGAAAAGUGUCGUUUUGUGUUCGUCGUUAGUUAUAACGAACGAUAAUAUUUCGUUGAUGUUGUGAGAAGUUUUGUUUUUUUCGUCGGUUUGAAGAAAAAGAUAGAAAAAGGGAGAAAGAUAUAGAGAUAGAAGAAAGAAGAGAAAAAUAAAGGAAAAAGAAAUAUUGAAAUAUAAUUAUCGUGUAUGUGUGGUGCGUGUUGGUUGUUGUUAUAAAUACGUUCGUGCCGAACGACUUGUGCAACAAUUUGAAUUUCGCGCGUGUCACGUGCAAUAGUUGUUUGUUGUUGACCACCCUACCUUGGAAUUUCUUUUAUUUUUUCAUAAAUUCUUGUUGGGGUUAUUUUAGUUCUUUUGUUUUUUUGUUUCUCGUGAACUCUCAGUGUUUUACUACUUUUUAACUCGUUACUUCGGGUGAAAAUAAUAAUAAUAAUAAUAACAACAACAACAACAACGAGGAGGGUAGUCGCUCGUUGAACGUUCGAUGCUGACGAAUCGCGUUCUGACGAAGAGAAGAAGAAAAAAAAGAAGAAGAAGAGGAGGAGCUGGCGGAGGAAUAGGAGAAGAAAUAGAAGAAGAAGAAGAGGAGCGUUUUCUUUCUCCCCUCUACUACCAUUGCCGACACUCGCGUCGCGACGAUAAUAAACGUCGGGAAAGAGAUAAAGUUUUGAGGAGCAGGAGGGAAAGGGAAAGAAAAAGAAAGAAAGAGACAGAGAAUCUAGAGUGCGCCAGCGCAUCCACCCUCUUUCUCUCGCCUUCUUCUUCGCCAACCACGUCGACGCGUAGGUAAAUGAGAGUUCAAGGUCAGCCGAGCGGUACUCGACCUAACCUCCUUCGUCUUAGUCGUGUCGUCGUCGUGCGAAAUCGUCAACCCACGAGGAGGACCGUUGUUAGUUUUUACCCCCCGACCCCCCAACCCUCUCUACCUCCUUUCAAAAGAUUUCUGACGAGAAGAAAUAAGAUAGAAGAGGGAAUAUACAACACACACACACACACACAACACUCUUUUCUCGAGAAGACGACACGCGUAGUAGUAGUUGUGUGUUCAAAAAUCUCCUCCGAGCUUCGUUUAAACGAAGUUAGUAGGGAGAAGUAGGGCUGACAGACACAGAAAGAGAGAAAGAGAAAGAGAGACUGUCACGCUAUUUCGGGAACGCGCGAUCUAAAGUGCGCCGAGAUAUACGCUGAACGUAAAUAAAUAUACGUGGCCCGUCGAGCUCUUCCACCGGCUCGCGUUCUCUUCUUCCCUUCGUGAAAGAA